GGCAAAUCAUGGGUCUGUUAUGCACACUGUAUCAGGGUAGAGUUUGAAGGAACAUGAGCAGUUCGAUUGUAUCUAUUUCCAUCUUGUUUUGCUCUGCAGAAUGACUGCCUGAAUAAGAAAUUCCAUGGGAAAUCACGAGAAAGAGCUAGAAUCAUAUAUACAAAAUACCAUUUGGCACCUUAAGGAAUGGGUUUGGAACAACUGGAUAUACUUCCACCCCAGGAAUUUCCAGGACAUCUGAAAUAACUAUUUCCUACAUGAGCGUCUUUCCCUCCCACCUCUUCUCUGCAAUCCCUAGAUUUAAGGGAUUAAUUACUGGGCAGACCAUACAUCAGUAUCUCUGGACACCAGGAAACAGCCUAUAUAGAAUUGGAAGAAGAGAGAGAAGGAAAAUGAGCAGCUAAAUUGUGGUCACGAAAUACAAGACCCUAUGGAGAAGACUCCCACAGCUGAGACUGUCACACAGGAGCCACAUGCUUGUCAUGGCUGCCUAGGAUCUGCUGUUCCUGACAUGUUCUUGUUUUAGAAUGUGAGGGGGUGGAGGCAAAGAGUGAAAGGUGACUGGGAGGUAAGAGUCACACAAGUUUACCUGAGUGAGAGCAGCAAAGUGUUCGUGGGAAGUUAGGUUGCGAAAAGGAUAAAGCCAGAUGGCAGGACCUCAACUUCCUGGAGGCCAUGUUUUUCUGGAAAAGAAGCCUUUGCAGAAACAAAUGAGGUUGACAGAGAAAGUCUCAGCAAUAACAAUUUUCGUGUCCAAGGCUGUGGCAAUUUGUUGAUAAUCUGUGUUAAAAAAGAAAUUUGAGUUUCUCAAGAGAGAAGGCUGAGAGGAUGUCUUAAUUACUAUCUUCAGUGUAUGAGGGAUGGUUAUAGGGUUUGGAAGAUGACAACCAGCUGUUCUCUGUCUCCAAAAAAGAAAAACAAGAGAACAUGAAAUUGCAAAGUGGCACGGGCUUAGACUGGAUAGGAGAGAGAGCAUGGUUAUUUAAUAUAUA
rnacentral:lncRNA from 1 species